GGGGGGGGGGGGGGGGGGGGGGGGCGGGGGGGGGGGGGGGGGCGGGGGGGGGUUGGGGGGGGGGGCGGGUGGCGGGGGGGGGGGUGGUGCGGCGGAGCGUGGCGGGUGGUGGGGGCGAGCGCGGCGGACGCCGGGGUACUCCCGCCGACGGCCUGGGGGGGGCGGCGUGGUGCCGCACAGCCUCGCGCUCCUGGUGCGGGCGCUUGCGGAUUAGCUAGUUGGUGGGGUAACGUCUUACUAAGGCGACGAUCCGUAGCUGGUCUGAGAGGACGACCAGCCACACUGGAACUGAGACACGGCCCAGACUCCGACGGGAGGCAGCAGUGGGGAAUUUUGGACAAUGGGGGCAACCCUGAUCCAGCCAUGCCGCGUGCGGGAAGAAGGCCUUCGGGUUGUAAACCGCUUUUGUGCGGGAAGAAAUCCUGUGGGCUAAUACCCCGGGGGGAGGACGGUACCGGAAGAAGAAGCACCGGCUAACUACGUG
rnacentral:rRNA from 1 species